UGAGGAACAUGACCUUCGGCGGGGGAUAGCCGGCCCAACGGCCGGGUAAUACCGCGUACGACCUUUUGGGGACAUCCCCGAUUGGUGAAAGCAGCAAUGCGCCGAAAGAGUGCCUCGCGGCCUAUCAGCUAGUUGGUGGGGUAAUGGCUCACCAAGGCGACGACGGGUAGCUGGUCUGAGAGGAUGGCCAGCCACAUUGGGACUGAGACACGGCCCAGACUCCUACGGGAGCAG
rnacentral:rRNA from 1 species